AUUGAACGCUGGCGGCAGGCCUAACACAUGCAAGUCGAACGAGUGGCGGACGGGUGAGUAAUGUCUGGGACACUGCCUGAUGGAGGGGGAUAACUACGGGAAACUGUAGCUAAUACCGCAUACCAUCGGAUGUGCCCAGGUGGGAUUAGCUAGUUGGUGGGGUAACGGCUCACCAAGCCGACGAUCCCUAGCUGGUCUGAGAGGAUGACCAGCCACACUGGAAAUGAGACACGGUCCAGACUCCUACGGGAGGCAGCAGUGGGGAAUAUGGCACAAUGGGAGCAAGCCUGAGGCAGCCAUGCCGCGUGGAUGAAGAAGGCCUUCGGGUUGUAAAGUACUUUCAGCGGGGAGGCGUUACCUGCAGAAGAAGCACCGGGUAACUCCGUGCCAGCAGCCGCGGUAAUUC
rnacentral:rRNA from 1 species